GACGAACGCUGGCGGCAGGCCUAACACAUGCAAGUCGAACGCCCUGGCAACAGGGAGUGGCAGACGGGUGAGUAACGCGUGGGAACGUGCCCUUCGGUUCGGAAUAACUCAGGGAAACUUGAGCUAAUACCGGAUACGUGCGAGAGCAGAAAGAUUUAUCGCCGAAGGAUCGGCCCGCGUCCGAUUAGCUAGCUGGUGAGGUAAUGGCUCACCAAGGCGACGAUCGGUAGCUGGUCUGAGAGGAUGAUCAGCCACACUGGGACUGAGACACGGCCCAGACUCCUACGGGAGGCAGCAGUGGGGAAUAUUGGACAAUGGGCGCAAGCCUGAUCCAGCCAUGCCGCGUGAGUGAUGAGGCCCUAGGGUUGUAAAGCUCUUUCGCCAGGGACGAUAAUGACGGUACCUGGAUAAGAAGCCCCGGCUAACUUCGUGCCAGCCGCCGCCGUAA
rnacentral:rRNA from 1 species